rnacentral:rRNA from 1 species
AGCAAUACGGAGUGGCGCACGGGUGAGUAACGCGCGGAUACCUGCCCCUUGGUGGGGGAUAACGCCGGGAAACUGGCGCUAAUACCGCAUACGCCCUUAGGGGGAAAGAUUUAUCGCCGAGGGAGGGGUCCGCGUCCGAUUAGCUAGUUGGUGAGGUAACGGCUCACCAAGGCGAUGAUCGGUAGCUGGUCUGAGAGGAUGAUCAGCCACACUGGGACUGAGACGCGGCCCAGACUCCUACGGGAGGCAGCAGUGGGGAAUAUUGGACAAUGGGGGCAACCCUGAUCCAGCCAUGCCGCGUGAGUGAUGAAGGCCUUAGGGUUGUAAAGCUCUUUCGGCGGGGACGAUGAUGACGGUACCCGCAGAAGAAGCCCCGGCUAACUUCGUGCCAGCAGCCGCGGUAAUACGAAGGGGGCUAGCGUUGUUCGGAAUUACUGGGCGUAAAGGGCGCGUAGGCGGCCUUGCACG